rnacentral:lncRNA from 1 species
ACAGGAGCUAUUGGAAGACACAUAGUUUGGGCAAGUAUUAAAGCAGGAAAUCCAACAUAUGCUUUGGUUAGAAAAACACCUGGCAAUGUUAACAAGCCAAAGCUUAUUACAGCUGCUAAUCCUGAAACCAAGGAAGAGCUUAUUGAUAAUUACCAAUCUUUAGGAGUUAUUCUACUUGAAGUAAGUGAUUUCAAUUUCUGAAAUAAUUUUAUAUUUUAUACUAAUUAAAUUUUUCUAAUCAAUAUGUCUUUGACUCUGCAGGGUGAUAUAAAUGAUCAUGAAACUCUUGUUAAGGCAAUCAAGCAAGUUGAUAUUGUGAUUUGUGCUGCUGGUAGACUACUAAUUGAGGAUCAGGUCAAGAUUAUUAAAGCAAUUAAAGAAGCUGGAAACGUUAAGGUGAGCAAAUUUGUCACUACACCACACUAAAUAAGUUCAAAUAAGUCAAUCUAAAUAAACUAUUAAGUAAUAGCUCCUUUGCUGGUUAGAUUUCGGCUUGUUAUAUUGAAUGUUGGUACUAAAUUUCUUGUGUCUACAGAAAUUUUUCCCAUCCGAAUUUGGGCUAGACGUGGACCGUCACGAGGCAGUUGAGCCAGUUAGACAAGUUUUUGAAGAAAAAGCGAGUAUCCGAAGAGUAAUUGAAGCUGAAGGAGUUCCUUACACUUACCUUUGUUGCCACGCCUUUACCGGUUACUUCUUACGUAACUUGGCUCAACUCGACGUCACUGAUCCUCCUCGGGAUAAAGUUGUCAUUCUUGGAGAUGGAAAUGUGAAAGGUAGCAAACUUAUUCACAAAACAGUUUUAGUACUAGUAUUCUACUAAACAUACAUCAUUCAAUUGUUUCAACAUUUGCCUUAAUUUUUUUUUUUUUCAGGAGCUUAUGUCACUGAGGCUGAUGUUGGGACUUUUACCAUUAAAGCAGCAAAUGAUCCCAACACAUUGAACAAAGCUGUCCAUAUAAGACUCCCCAAAAAUUAUUUGACCCAAAAUGAGGUUAUUUCUCUUUGGGAGAAAAAGAUUGGGAAGACUCUUGAGAAAACUUAUGUUUCAGAGGAACAAGUUCUCAAGGAUAUUCAAGGUCAGUAAAAUAAACGCUUUAUAAAUAUUGUUAAGAAUUUUUACAAUGUUAAUCAAUCAAUAAAUCGUUAAAAUUAUUUGAUUUUAAUUAUAUCUAUGCUUACUACGCAGAAUCUUCAUUCCCUCAUAACUACUUGUUGGCAUUGUAUCAUUCACAACAAAUAAAAGGAGAUGCAGUUUAUGAGAUUGAUCCAACCAAAGAUAUUGAAGCUUCUGAAGCCUAUCCUGAUGUCACAUACACCACUGCUGAUGAAUAUUUGAAUCAAUUUGUCUAAGUUUGUCAUCCCGGAAAUGUUAAAUAAGACAAAGAUUAUUUUUUCUUAAUAGUUUCACAUGUUGUACCACAUCAAUUAUAUUGUUAGUUGUCCUUGUUGUCUUGUUCUCAAUAAACCUUCCAAUUGAUGUAAUAUUUUACAAAAAUAAUAAUAUUGUAUUGUUCUAUUGUUUGCACAUUUGUGUCACUAGUAUCACUCUAUUAUUUUGUUGUUGCCCGUGAAUGGGUGACUCAAUAAAUUAUUUAAUACCCACGUCAGGAUGGACCGAUCUACCGUAUGAAGCAAUAUUUGUUUGGUCUCGGUUAUAAAUUUAAAUUAUUUACACACAUGCAAAAGAAAAAAAGUAGAAAGAAUGAACCAAUAUUUUUUUAUUUUAUUUUUAUGGGGGUGUUUGUUUGGGAGAUAAAAAAUAUAUUCCUGGGUAUAAGGGCAUUAAAUAUGAUAUUCCUAUGUUUGGUAGAAGGGAACAAAAAUAAUAUACCCAGGAAUAAAUGAUUCCCAGGAAUCUUAUUUACCCGUUGACUCUCUAUUUUUAUUCCCGGGGGUGGGGGGCUGGAAUCUUCAAUUCCUGAGAAUGAAAUCUCCACAUUCAUGACGAAAACCCACCCAUACCCCUAUUUUACCCACGCUUCUUCCCUCCUAAUUUUUCCCACGCGUUUUCUAAAUUAAUAGAAACCCACAUAUAUAUAAACCCCUCUUUGCUCUCUCUUUUCACUCAUCUGGAUCCAGAUCCAUCCAUAACAGGUUUGUGUCUUAUGUUUUGUUUUGUUUUUUGCGUUUUUUUAACUGCUGGACAGAUUCUCGGCCUGCCAGGCUGCUGUACCAGCGGAGCUGGGCCGCGCAAAUGCGAGUUUCGGUGACUGACAUUCGAGCGGGCAUCCACCAUUCUGUUGCUGUUGCAUGUCAAAGGUGUUGGGCAGUCUGCCAACCUUCAAUUAAAUGGCGUGUAACAACUUGAAACAGGGUACUCUUGUUAUGUAUUAAAAAACAAGUAUAUACCCUGACCAAUACCUUUGUUGACUCGCAUAAUUUACUUUGCUUGAUUAAAAAUAACAUGAAAAAUAUUAUUUUUCAUCAAUUUAAUGUAAAAGGGUAUUUUAAUAAUUUUGACAUUUAUUCCUGGGAUUAUACAUUUUAAACCAAACAUAUUUUUAGUAUUCCCAGGAAUUUAGAAAGAAAGUUCCAAGGAAUUCAAAUUGGUAACCAAACACUUUUUUAAAAUAUUCCUAGGAAUAUAAUUCCAAGGAAUAUAUUCCUGGGAAAAUUAUUCCAGGGAAUAAUUUUUGCAUCUGUGAAACAAACGGCCCCUAUAUUAUUGAAAUAAGUGCCCUAAAGGCAUUUGUUAGCAUUCUCCUUAAAAUAAUUAUAUGAUGUGUAUUUUGAUUGUGCACUUAAAUGAUUUGAAUUUGUGGUUGUGACUAUAUAAAAAUUAUUCGACGGCAUGAUCAACAGACCGUGUGAACAAUUGAAAUAUAUUAAAUAAUCAUGUUCAGACAUCCCUUACUUGUAGAGGUGUCAAAUGGACUGGACAACCCAGUUCGGCUUAAGAGUUUUGACUACAUAAAUGAACCAGUCUGACCAAGCCCAUUUGUAAUUGGGCCGCAUAAAAUAUAAUUGAAUGGAUAUAGAAGUAUAAAUAUUUUUUACAUUACCAUUAAAUACUAAUUAAACUCUAGAUUUAUUUCUUCAAUUGAAUCAAAUUAAUACUACAUCCGUCCAUAAUUAUAGGAUCCUUUUGAAAAAUAACAGGAAUUAAGAAAAUUAAAAGUGAUAAUAAAUUUGUUUUUAAUUACAAUUGUUUUUACAAAUUUGUCUUUUAAGAGUGGGUUAGUCCGUUAAUGUAUGUUUACAAUGUAGUAUUUAAUGAUGAUUGAAGAAAAAGAUAUACAAUAAAUAGGGGUAUGGUGGUAAAGAAUUAAUUAAUAUAUUUGGAAAUAGCAAAGAGAUUUUUAUAAAAAGAGACAAAAAAAUUCUCAAAAGGGUCCUAUAAUUAGGGACAGAGACAGUAGUUUAUAAACUUUAGAAUUUUAAAACUUUGAACUAAAUUUAUGCAUUUUUAUUAAGUUGACUUAUUUCAAUAUAUUUUAUUAAUAAAUUUUUAAAGUAGUUGAUAAUGUUUUUAAAAAAUAUAGCGUUUUUUAACAAAAAUAAAAUAAAAGUAUAGAUAGUAGGUCGGUCCGAAGUCCGAUAGGUUAGCCUGACUCGGCCCCAUUUUCAUAUGGAUCAAAUGAGCUAAGGUAAAAAAAAAUACGAGAGUAUUUUUAGUUAGGUUUGUGGUUCGGCCCAAAAUGUGUCAUUUUUUAUGUCUCUACUUACUAGCCAUCUCACCAUUAACAACGAUUUGUCAACUAAACAAUGUCAUCUUCUUUUCUAUUAAAGUUAACCCGGAAGCCCUAAUUUUAACCUAAACUAUAUUGCAUAAAUUUACUGUUUUAACCCUAAUGCUUAAUUCCUUUGUUUAAUCCUAUUAACCCUAUUUCUUGGUUGAAACAAAUUGAACCUAAUCUCCUAUUUUCUUGAAUAAAACAAAUUGGCCCUAUUUCUUCAACAAAACAAAUCGCUUUAUUUCUUGCUUUAAAAAAGAAACAACAACUCAAGUUGGGAUACUCUACUUGACCUAGAAGAGAAAUAACGGAAAGAAGAACUUGCCUUUUUGAGAACUUAUUGUCGGAACUCGGAAGCAAUGGUGAUCUGCUAAGUUUAUGGCGAGUUCGAUUGAUUAUGAGCUGCUAAGUUCGAUUGAGUAAGAGUUCGAUUGAUUAUGAGUUGCGAAGUUCCAUUGAGUAACAGGCAACAAAUCCUUCUUCUCAUGGCGGUAGGGAUGAGAGAUUUUGCUUACAACAAAUUAAUGGCAUGAUCAUAGGAAAGAGAUUUUAGUUUCUAGGUUUAGUAAGAACAAUGGGAUGAGAAAUGAUGAGGUAGAGUUGCAUGUGAAGAUAUGAUGAGGGAGAUAAAGAUGUUGAUAGGUUUUGGAAUAGGAAAGUAAUUUUUAUGAGAGAGGUUGACUACAGCUAUAAAAUAAAUGAUAAUUAUAUUUAUUUGAUACUUCCUAAAUGUUGUUACUUGAGAGUUAAAACGAUCUCUUUCCUGUGCAAACUAAAAAAUAAAGAGAAUAUAUGAAUUUUUAAUUCCAGCUAUUUUUUAUUCUUUUUUUUUUUUGUCUUUGAAAAUUGAUCUUUAAACUUCAUUAUUUGAAAAAAUCGAUUAUUUAUACUUUAACUAUUUUUAUUAAACUUAAUGUCUACUAAAAAUACAAUCUUAUUUCUUCUUAAUUUUUUAACACGUGAUCAAAAUUAUAUCUUUUUGUGUCUUUUGCUCCAACUUCCCUCUAUUUUUGCUUUCUUAAAAACAAAUUAAAACAAACUCACUCGAUAGAAUUCACUAACUUAAUCUUUUUUUAAAGAAAAAACAAGCUUAAUCUUAAUAAAUAUAUAAAGAGUUAAAAAUAAUUUACAAUCUAUUUUCUUUCUCUUUCUCUAAUUAUGAAGUUAAUGACCGAUAAAAACAAAUUUUUGCCUCAUCUUAAUAUUUUGACACCUCAACAUAUAUUUAUCUUUGUAUGUCUUUUGUAACAAAAUAUCCUAUUUCGCUGAGGGAGAAAAUAACUUUCAAAAGAUUGAUGUGAUUUUAUAACAAAAAAUUCAUUUUAUAUUGAUAUAUCUAUACAAUCUAAAAUAUUUGAAUACCGGACAAAUUACUCUUAAAAAAAAAAAUCAUCGGCAAAUUAUAAUAACCUCCCUUAAGAUCUUCUUAAAUACUAACCUUCCUUAAGGUCUUCUUAAUUGAAAAGCACUUCCCCUAUAAUAUAACACGGUUUAAACUUCGUUCAUUCUAUUUUUUUUAGCAAUUAACUUCUCCAUACGAGUAUAAACUCACUUAAUUUUUCGACCAUUUUUUCUUUCCAUUUUUCACUUUAGUGAUUUUCUCAACUUAUUGUUCCUCAAUUAAGGUGAUUUAAUUUUUAAACUCUAAUAUAAUAAAACGGAUAUAUCAAAGAUUAUUUUCUUUUCAUUGAUCAACUGCAAUGUCCAUCCACUAAAAUUCUUCUCAUUUCUAUAUUCUCUCCUGAUCUCUUAUGUAAUUGCCGAUGUUUGAUUCUAUUUGGCGGUAUGAACAAAUGUUGUUAUUGUUUCUUCAUUGCGAGAAAAAAACUCAUUUAAACAUAAUUGUGAAAAGAGAAAUUAGAUACAAACAAACCAAAAUGACUGAAAUUAAAUUGUAUAUUUACAAAGUUAUUGAAAUGGAAAAAAUGUGGGAAGAUUGAUGUGUUGGAAAAUUAGAAGGCGUGCUUGUGUUAUUUAAGAAAAUCUCAAGGGAUGUCAAUGUAAUUUACCCUUUUAUCAUUAAUGUUGACUUUAUCAUUAGUUUUUUCUUAUUUUUUCAAUUCAUAUAGCAUUGCAAUGCGCUUUGAUGCAUACCCCCGCUUCAAAUUAGCUCGUGCGGAGAGCACGGGUUUGUUGCUAGUUGAUAUAAAUAAUGUGAUUGAUGUCACUUUCAGUUAGCCCCCAAAACUUUGCAUAAAGGGUGAUUCACUGUCAAUUAAAAUUUCUGAAGAUUUAUACCAAGUAGGGUUGGAAAAAUACAAGAACGAAUUGCAUGGUAGAUUUAAGUUGUAAAGGAGGAUAUGCCACCAUGGUCGUAUCUGAGGUAGGAUAAAGAGAACGACUGUACUAGACUUCAAAAAAUAAGUUCAAAAAAAUACAAAAAUAAUACUUAAAAGUUUAGUUCUUUGUUGGCACAUAUCUAGAAAUGCUUGUAGAAAUUGUUUUGUAUGAGCAUUUAAAUAUUAAAUAAAAAAUCAUAAUUUUAUACGAAGUUUGAUAUUUUUAUUAGAUUAUUUCUUAGCGUAAUAAAAACCAUCAUUUUCAAGUAAAUUAUUUUCACACUUUAGAAAUUCAAUUUUUUUAUAUGCUUAUUAUUUAAGACUCAAAUUGUAGAUUUACCCUUAGGACACCAAAAUCUUAGAAACGAACAUGUAUGUCACUCAAGUCGGAUGACCUUCAAUUCAAAUUAGCCAAAUUAUUGAAAUCAUUAUGUCAUUGAAAAAAUGAUACCACUAGGUAAGGGUUUUUACGAAAUUUCAUUUAGUUUCUAAAGAGGGUUUAAGAAGGACAUGGAUUAUGGGAGCACAAUCUUUGCAUUUGGGUAUCUUGUCUUUGCUUCGAUGGACACCAGAUUUCAGUUUAAGGAAACGAAGACAAACAAAUGUAGAAUGUUGUUAUCUCCAGUUAUACUUCCUUCAAUUUGUGAGUAAGUAAAAUUAUGGCUUAAUUACCUAUUUUGUUUCUUUCACUGAAUUACAUAAAACAUGUGACAUGUCUAAAAGAAAUUCAAUUUGGCUAUCAACAUUGUUGAAUGUGACUUAAACUUUCAUGUUUGAAUGGUGAAAAAAUGGUUUGCUAUUGUCCAAUAUGAAAGGCAUAUCCGGUGGUGAGGCGCAAGGCAUACUCUGGGUGUUUUUAUCACAUUUCGGUUCUGUCCCACAUGCCUUGCGCAUGGAGCAACAUGCAAGGCGCAUCCUGGAUAUGCUAACUUGAUGCAAGGUGCCUACAUCAGGUACAUCAUCUAUGAUUUCCAGUUUUCUCAUUCUUUUGUGAUUAAUCUUAUGAAACUAAAGAAGAUAGCUCUUAAGUAUCUUAGAGGCUAAAAGUAGAGGGUCUUUGUGUGAGAUUUUUAGGUUGGGCGGGAAACACAUUGUAAAUUUGAAUGUUGGCAACAAGUUAUGCAAGCUGAACUUUCUGCUCUUGAGACUCCUGGUACAUGGAAAAUUGUGGAUUUACCAUAAAAUGUGAAACAAAUAGGUUACAGAUGGAUUUAUAAGAUCAAACAUUAUGUUGAUGGAUCUAUUGAGAGGUACAAAGCCAGACUUAUUGCAAAAGGGUACAAUAUUUGAUAGAAAGACUUGAUUAUUUUAUCGCAUACUCACCAGUUGAUGUAAUAUUUUAGAAAAAUAACAAUAUUGUAUUUUGUUCUAUUGUUUGCACAUUUCACAUUUGUGUCACUAGUGUUCAGUUUUGAAAAUUUUACAUCACUCUAUUAUUUUAUUGUUGCCCGUGAAUGGGUGACUCAAAAACUUAUUUAAAACACACGUCAGGAUGGACCGAUCUAUACCACAUGAAGCAAUUUUAUUUAUUUAUUUUAAACAAUGUACCUUUUGGACAUUGUGUGGUCACAAAUUCUUCAAAAAUAAAAUUUAAAUUAUUUACACAUAUGCAAAUGAAAAAAUUAGAAAAAAAAGAAGCGAUAUCUUUUAUUAUCAUUUUUUUGAAGAGACUAAAAUGAAUUAUAUUACCACCACGAAAGUCUUCCUAGCACAAGGGAUGUCAAGGAAUAAAAACCUCAAAGUCAAACAAAAUAAUAAAUUACAACAAGGCAAAAGCCAUCACCACAAAACAACCUGAAACAACACAACAAUUAUCCUAUGCCUAGUAAAGUGAACGAACUAAGCCACCAACCAUGAUAGUUAAAAUGAAGAGUAGCAUACUUCGCCUUCAACCACUUGAAUGUUAGCAACUUAAUCCUAUCCACCACCUGCAUAAUGGCGCUAUCAUUAGCAUUAAAAAUUAUGUUGUUUCUUUCCUUCCAUAUUUCCCACAUAGUCGCAAACCAAAUCACCUGAAGAAUAGAUUGCCUCGACUUAGAGCCACCGCUUAAAAAACUGAAUUGAAUAAAAUGCCCCGAAACAUCUAAAGGCAUCGCUGUAGCUAUACCAAUCCAUUGAUAUAUAUAAUUCCAAACCGAUCCAAAAAGACUACAAUGUAAGAAUAAAUGGUUUUAUGUUUCAACAAAACCGCAUCCACCAACACAAAUUUGAGCGUCAAAAUCUAAAACAUGACGCCUAUGAAGAUUAACCUUUGUAGGAAGCCGGUCACGAAAUACACGCCACGCAAAAAGCACCACCUUCAAAGGGACAUCCUUAUGCCAAAAAGAAGGCAAACGCACCACAUUAUCAACAUGAACCUGCGCCAUGAGAGUAGUGUCUGCACUUUUUACUGUAUAACAGGAAGUAGGAUCCGCGUUCCACUUCCAAAAAUCCUUUAUGUGAACCUGAAAAGAAACAUUUUGAAGUAAAAGCCUAAGCUCCCCUACCGACUCUUCCUCCCAAGCCCACAGCCUACGCCUCCACCUCCACGCCCCACCCUCCUCCUCCCACCCUAACGCUCUCAUCGCUGCAACAGACUCCUCCUUUAGAAGCGACAACUCAUACAACCUACUAAAUCUAUCCCGAAGCGACACUCGCUUCACCCAAACAUCCGUCCAAAACAAGACACUAGACCCAUCACCCAAAGAACGACUAAUAUUAUUAUUAAACCAGCCCUCAGAUCGCAAGGCCACUAUACUUCGCCACCACGCGGAACCAUCACGACCUCCACUACACAAGUGACCGCCCUCCAAACCAUUUCGCGCCGCUAACACCCUAAACCACAGACUAUCCCUAUCCACCAACACCACUUCCCUAAUAAUGCUAAAUUAAAUUCUUUAAUUCUCCUAACCCCCAAACCUCCAACUUCCUGACUCCGACAAACAGAAUUCCAAUCAACCCAAAUAAUUUUCCUGUGGUCUGCACUCCCCCCCCCCCCAAAAAAAAUUAUUUAAAAUAGAUUCAAUAGAAGAAACAAUACCUGACGGAGCCUUGAAAAAAGAAAGAGCAUAAACAGGCAGGGACGAUAGGACGGACUUCAGUAGAACCAACCGGCCACCCAAAGACAAGUGUUUCGACUUCCAACCCAACAAUCUAGACUUAAGACGGAAUGAUUUAUAUUUUGUAUAUGUACCUAAAUGAUUUGAAUUCGUGGUUGUGACCACACAAAACUUAUCCGACAGAAUGAUCAAUAGACUAUGUAGACAAUUGAAAUAUAUUAAAUAAUCAUUUUCGGAUAUCCCUUACUUUGUAGAGGUGUCAAAUGAAUUGAUCCGACUCAGUCCGGACUGAGAGGUCCGACUACAUAAUUUGGUCAGAACGACCCAACCCAUUUGUAACUGGACCGCAUAUUAUAGAGCCCGACCUGAUCUAUAGGUCAUGGACCAACCCGACCCGUUUAUUUAUUUAUUCACUUUUUUUUCUUUCUUUUUUUUUAUGUAUUUUUUAUAUAUUAGUUACCCACAACAAUCUUUUUUCUCAAAUAUGAUUGGAUGAACAUAGAAAUGCAAAUAAUUUUUACAUUAACAUUAAAUACUAAUUAAACUUGAGAUUUAUUCCUUCAAUUGAUUCAAUUAAUAAUUUAUAAACUUUAGAAUUUUAAAUCUUUGAGCUAAAUUUAUCCGAUUUUAUUAAGUUUACUUAUUUAAUUUUUUUUUUUAUUAAUGACUAUUAAAGCAGUUGAUAAAGUCUUAAAAAAUAUAGCGUUUUUAACAAAAAUCAAAUGGAAAUAUUGAUAGUGGACCGGUCCGAAGCCUGAUAGGUUAGCCCGACUCGGCCUAUUUUUAUAUGAAAAUUACUCUUCUUCCUUUUAAAAUUGUUUAUUCUCUUAAGAUCGGUUGACCCGACUGAAAAUGUGAUUGAAUCGAUUUUAAAAGUGUUAGCAAGAGUUAACUACCGCUGAAAAAUACCUAACGUGAGUUAACUUCCGCUUAUAUAAGAGAAUGAUCAAUUUUGAAAGGAAUAAGAGCAAUUUUCUUUUUAUAUGGGUCAAAUGAGUUACGGUCAAAAAAGUCCGAAAAAUGCUCUUCUCUCAAAAAGAUUUGCUCACUUCCAACCAAACUUACAAAAAUACUCCACAUAAGUUAAGUCACACAUAUAUUAAACUCAGCAUGACUUAACUCACGUUAAAAAUUUAAACUGAACUGCAACAUAAAUUAACUCACCUUAGUUUUCUUUCUCAAGUUUCACAUGAAAAUCUUGCUCCUGCUAAGAUGCUUAUUUAAUUAUUUAAUAUAUUGCUGUUGAUAUGAUUGUGUGUACCUGUCGCAGUAAUGCAAAGUAGAAGGUAUCCAGCAUGACCCAUACCAUGAUGCUAGCAGCAGUACACACGUGUGUUGUUAGGACAGCAAGAGAUGCAAUGGUCCAUACACCCAUUUAAACCAUUAUAAGCAUUGGAGGAGCAAGAUUUUCAUGUGAAAAUUGAGAAAGAAAACCAGCGUCAGUUAACUUACGAUGGGAUUUAGUGUGAGUUUUUAGCAUGGCUUAAGUCACGUAGGUUGUAUUCCAGUAUGAUUUAAGUAAGUUGGGUUUAACACUUGCGUGAUUUAACUCACGCGAGGAUAUUUUCAAAAAUUUGGUUGAGAAUAAACAAAUCUUGUUGAAAAAAGAGCAUUUUUCAAAAAGUCCGAAUGCAUUUUGGGCCGUCUUUUUUAGAUCCAGCCCAAAAUGUGUUAGUUUUUGCAAUCUCUACCUACUUGCCAUCUCACUAUUAACAACGAUUUAUCAACUAAACUAAACAAUGCCAUUUUUUAUACAUGCACUAAAUAAUGUGAUUGAUGUCACUGUCACACAACCCCCAAAACUUUGCAUAAAGGGGGAUUCAUUGUCAAUAAAAAUUCCUAGGAUUUAUACCAACCAGGGUUGGAAAAAUACAAAAACAAACUGCAUGGUAGAUUUACGCUGCAAAGAGGGAUAUGCCAUGGCCGUAUCUUAGGCAGGGCAAAGAGGACGAUCAUACUAGUUCUCACAUAAUAACUUCAAAUUUAGAUCUCAAAAUUCAAAAAUAAUAUUUAAAUAUUUAGUUCUUUGUUGGCACAUAUCUAAAAAUGCUCAUAGAAAUUGUUUUGUAUGAGUAAUUAAUAUUAAAUAAAAAAUUUCAAUAUUUUAUAUGAAGUCCAAUGUUUUAUUAGAUUAUUUCUUAGCGUAAUAAAAACUAUUAUUUUCAAGCAAAUUUUUUUCACAUUUUAGAAAUUCAAUUUUUUGUAUAUAUUUAUUAAUUAUGAUCCAAAUUGUAGGUUUAUCUUUAAACCACCAAAAUCUUAGAAACGGGCUUGUAUGCAUCUCAAGUCGGACGACCUUCAAUUCAAAUUAGUCAAAUUAUAGAAACCAUUAUGCCGUUGAAAAGAGGCUUUAAGAAGGACCUGAAUUCUGAGAGCACAGACUUUAUAUUUGGGUAUCUUGUGUUUGCUUCAGUGGACACCACACUUCAAUCUAUGGAAACAAAGACAAACAAAUGUACAAUGUUGUUAUCACCAAUUAUAUUUCCUUCAAUUUGCAAAGAAGUAAAAUCAUGGCUUAAUUACAUAUUUAGUUCCUUUCACUGAAUUACAUAAAACAUUUGACAUGUCUUAAAGAAAUCCAAUUUGGCUAUCAACAUUGUUGAAUGUGACUUAAACUUUCAUGUUUGAAUGGUGAAAAAAUGGUUUGUUAUUGUCCAAUAUGCAAGGCAUAUGCGGUGGUGAGGCGCAAGGAGCAUCCUGGAUCUGCUGACUGUGCGCAAGGUGUCUGCAUCAAGUCCAAUAUCUAUGGAAUUUCAGUUUUCUCAUCCUUUUGUGGUUGUGAAACUAAACAAGAUAGCUUUUAAGAAUCUUAGAGACUAACAGUUGAGUUGAGGGUUUUAAGUAAGAUUUUUAGGUUGUGAAACUCAUUAUAAAUAUUUUGGAGAUUAAAAGUAGUUGAGUCUCUUGAUCACAAAAAGAUAUAGAAAAAUGGGUAAAAAUUAGAUUGUUCAUAGAGAACUUGUUCAAGCUAAUUUUUUAUAACUUAUUUUUAUCAUUUGUAAGAAUUAAACUCAUUUAUUGGGAAUUGGAGAGUUGCAUUUUCCCAUAUGUAGGUUAUUAUUGUUGGACCAAACUGAAAACCAAAUCUUGAUGUGUUUAUUUCUCUACUCUCUUUAUUUUGUUGUUGUUGCUUUGAUUGUGGAUUUUCUUUACGCUUUUUUGUUACAUCGACAAUUAUAAAAAAUUAACAAUCUAUUGAAACUCAUUUCAAGCGCUCUAAGUGUUUAAGAACAAUUUAUGUUGAGUGAUUAAACACAUUUUUUUUUGUAAUAGCUGUAUAUAUCUAUCAAAUGAAGACAAAUUCUUUGUAUUUUUUUCUUUUUAUUUAUUAUAUUUACUUUUUGCUUAAAAAAAACGAAGAGAAAUUCAACAUGCAGGUUGUGUGGUGUCAUUGUUGAAAAAUUGUGAAGUAUAGGUUUCAAGUUGAAUAUUAAAAAAUCCUUAAAAAGUUAGAUGUAUCAUCGAUAAUUUGGAUUAUAGAUGGAUGAUACGAUGGAUACAUACUCAACCAAAUUGUUUUCGUAAGCUGAGUUUUUUGUAUAUAUAUAUUACAACUGACUAGUAGUAUGUUUUAUGCGGAGUUAAUAGACUUAAGAGAAGGUGUCAAUCUUGACCAACAGGGGCUACUUCUAAUUCAACAAUAAUGGAAUAUUAUUAAAUUUGGUCACCAAAACACACAGAGAGUAGUAGAUAGAUGGAAGUUGGUGGCAAUCCAAAUUAGUCCUAUAAAUAUCAAACAAAGUAUAGUUUAUUCAUAACACACUCACUACUACUUUGGUAACUUACUCAGAACAAGAAAAAACAGACACACAUAAACACACUUGUUUUUUUACUAAAGUUAUUUUUUCUUCCAAUGGCAACUGAAAACAAAAUCCUGAUCCUAGGACCAACAGGAGCUAUUGGAAGACACAUAGUUUGGGCAAGUAUUAAAGCAGGAAAUCCAACAUAUGCUUUGGUUAGAAAAACAC